GCGAGAGUGGCGGAACUGGCAGACGCGCACGUUUGAGGGGCGUGUGGUUUAUCCGUACGGGUUCAAGUCCCGUCUCUCGCACCA
rnacentral:tRNA from 2 species